rnacentral:tRNA from 1 species
CAUUAGGUAUCUUAAAUAUUAAAGAGUUGAUUUUUUAAUUCAAAAAUAAUAAAUUUUAUAUAAUUAUUCUUAAUGA